GACGAACGCUGGCGGCGUGCUUAACACAUGCAAGUCGAACGGUGAACCUCUUCGGAGGAGAUCAGUGGCGAACGGGUGAGUAACACGUGGGCAACCUGCCCCCGGCUCUGGGAUAACUCCAAGAAAUUGGGGCUAAUACCGGAUGUUCACCGCUUCCCGCAUGGGUGGUGGUGGAAAGGGUUUCCGGCUGGGGAUGGGCCCGCGGCCUAUCAGCUUGUUGGUGGGGUAGUGGCCUACCAAGGCGACGACGGGUAGCCGGCCUGAGAGGGUGACCGGCCACACUGGGACUGAGACACGGCCCAGACUCCUACGGGAGGCAGCAGUGGGGAAUAUUGCGCAAUGGGCGGAAGCCUGACGCAGCGACGCCGCGUGGGGGAUGACGGCCUUCGGGUUGUAAACCUCUUUCAGCAGGGACGAAGCGCAAGUGACGGUACCUGCAGAAGAAGCACCGGCCAACUACGUG
rnacentral:rRNA from 1 species